AUGGGCUUCUGCUGCGCGCGUCAGCCAAGCCUUGGAUGUCUCCAUCUCAUCAUGGCUGGAAUUCUCACGCUCCAGACAAACCUGAACACGCUCAAGAGAAGGGAGGUGCCCCAGGCCGCAGUCAACCUCACCACUUGCGAUCGACGGCGCAGAGACCUCGAAGUCAAGGUGUUGAACCCUUGGCAUAGCUCACUUUGCAGAUUAGGUGCAUGCCACUCAGCAUUAUCCAAUAUGGAGAUAAAAUUCUCCUCACUUGACAGUGAGCAUAUAAGAUCAAGCACCAUAUCAUGUAUACGACAAGUUACUACCGUUCCUUCCAAAUUGAUUUGUGCUGGCUGGAUCAAGCUCCUGUUCAUAAGCUCGUUGAAGUAG
rnacentral:rRNA from 1 species